CCAAAAAUCACACAAAAAACUCUCUCUUCCUCUCCCCUUUGGCCUAACCCUUCCUCCUCCUUUGGCCAAGAAAAUUUCAUCUUCAUCUCAAUCUUGCUCCCAACCUUGCUCACACCUUUGACCGUCUUAAAGCUUGAUAGAAGACUUGGUGGAGGGAAGAUUCUUGAAGGUAUAGUGCUUGGUUUCUUGAGAUUUUGCUUGCCAUCCUUGGAGGAAGGUAACCUUUCCAAGCUUCAAUCUUUCUUUCAUCU
rnacentral:lncRNA from 1 species